rnacentral:rRNA from 1 species
GAUGAACGCUGGCGGCGUGCCUAAUACAUGCCAGUCGAGCGAACGGACGAGAAGCUUGCUUCUCUGAUGUUAGCGGCGGACGGGUGAGUAACACGUGGAUAACCUACCUUUAAGACUGGGAUAACUUCGGGAAACCGGAGCUAAUACCGGAUAAUAUUUUGAACCGCAUGGUUCAAAAGUGAAAGACGGUCUUGCUGUCACUUAUAGAUGGAUCCGCGCUGCAUUAGCUAGUUGGUAAGGUAACGGCUUACCAAGGCAACGAUGCAUAGCCGACCUGAGAGGGUGAUCGGCCACACUGGAACUGAGACACGGUCCAGACUCCUACGGGAGGCAGCAGUAGGGAAUCUUCCGCAAUGGGCGAAAGCCUGACGGAGCAACGCCGCGUGAGUGAUGAAGGUCUUCGGAUCGUAAAACUCUGUUAUUAGGGAAGAACAUAUGUGUAAGUAACUGUGCACAUCUUGACGGUACCUAAUCAGAAAGCCACGGCUAACUACGUG